GUCAAAUCAUAGUUUGUUUCAAUGGUAUCAUUUGAUGUAACCAUUUAUAUGACAAACCAAUUGUAUUUUAUUCAAAGGCACCUGUAAAUUAUAAAUCUUCUAAUGUCCAAUUGCUAGAAUUUGUGAUGGCUGAUUUAUAACUAACUCAUGAAACUGUCCAUAUGUUUGAUAUUUCACUUGAUUAAUGCUCCUGAAACAACAACAAAAUAUUAAAAUACACUUACUUUGUUUGCUGAUCCUGUGGCUAGAAGAUAGAGUUAGGAGUGAAAACCUUCGAAUAAUGGUGCCCCUCUGCACAAAACAUUUAAUUUUCGUGGUAUUAAAUUAAGGAUUUUAAUCAUUUAAGAAAAUACUGAGUUCUAUAGAUUCAAACAUACAGUAUAGCCUUUUAAUGUUUUAAUCACUGGACAAUGAAUGCUAUAUUUGUACAUGUAUUUGUAUAUGUAACUGCACUGUAUUGAUUUUAUUGGACUUAUGUGUGUUACUAUGAAACAUAGCAGCAAUUUCCCUUUAAGUCUUUGAAUUUUAAUUACAUUAUAAAUAUACUAAAAAUGUUAAUGUACUUGCAUUAAUUCCACAUUAAAAAUAUCCAACCUU
rnacentral:lncRNA from 1 species